CGACGUCGUCGUCCUCACAUCGCCACCUUUUCCACCAUCUUCUCCUCACAUUGACUAUUAGCUAGCUAGCUCGGCGACAAGUGAGCUCCCGGAGGUGAGGAGCGAGCGAGGACACACACCGUCGCUUCGCCGCAGCUCCCGGAGGUGAGGAGGAGGGAGACGGUGGUGAGCGCGAGCUUAUUAGGUGUACUGUGUGACGGGACGGACGGCAGGAUGACGAGUGGGUUGGGGCUGGGGAGCGGCGGCGGCGGCGGCGGCAAGGUGAGCCUGCGGCUGCAGUACUACGGGGGGGUGGCCGGGGG
rnacentral:lncRNA from 1 species